rnacentral:lncRNA from 1 species
CCUGUUGGAGGAAGUGUGUCACUGUGGGGGCGGGCUCUGAGGUUUUCUAUGCUCAGGAAAAUGCCUAGUGUCUCAGUUGAUUUCCUGUUGCCUCAAAGCUGCAGCACUCUCAGCUCCAGCACCACAUCUGCCUGCAUGCCACAUGCUGCAUGAUGAUAAUGGACUGAACCUCUGAAACUGUGGUGAGAUGGUGCGGCCCGUAAAGGUGCUUGCUGCCAAGCCUGAUGACCUGAGUUCAAUCCUUGGACCCCCAUGGUGGAAGGAGAGAACCAAGUCCUGGAUUGAAUGGAAAUGAGAAGAAAACCGAAUCUGCUUUUAUCAGAUAAACUAAGAGCCAGUGAGGAUUUACAUGCCAGACACUGUGCCAAAGUC